AGCAAACAGGACUAGAUACCCUGGUAGUCCACGCUGUAAACGAUGUCGACUUAGAGGUUGUGGUCUUGAACCGUGGCUUCUGGAGCUAACGCGUUAAAUCGACCGCCUGGGGAGUACGGCCGCAAGGUUAAAACUCAAAUGAAUUGACGGGGGCCCGCACAAGCGGUGGAGCAUGUGGUUUAAUUCGAUGCAACGCGAAGAACCUUACCUACUCUUGACAUCCAGCGAAUCCUUUAGAGAUAGAGGAGUGCCUUCGGGAACGCUGAGACAGGUGCUGCAUGGCUGUCGUCAGCUCGUGUUGUGAAAUGUUGGGUUAAGUCCCGCAACGAGCGCAACCCUUAUCCUUUGUUGCCAGCACGUAAUGGUGGGAACUCAAAGGAGACUGCCGGUGAUAAACCGGAGGAAGGUGGGGAUGACGUCAAGUCAUCAUGGCCCUUACGAGUAGGGCUACACACGUGCUACAAUGACAGAUACAAAGAGAAGCGACCUCGCGAGAGCAAGCGGAACUCAUAAAGUCUGUCGUGGUCCGGAUUGGAGUCUGCAACUCGACUCCAUGAAGUCGGAAUCGCUAGUAAUCGUAGAUCAGAAUGCUACGGUGAAUACGUUCCCGGGC
rnacentral:rRNA from 1 species